CAACAACAACAACAAUGAUGCAAACAGAGAGGUGCUGACAAAAAAAAAACAACAACGGGAACGACAACAACGACGACAAAGAUAACGAAAAGUGACAACGACAACGACAACGAAAACGGAACGAACGAACGACGCGACAAAAUGUAAAAUGCAAAAUGCACAAAUGAAACAAAAUGAACAAAAUAUUAAAUGCAAUUAAAAACGCAUAAUUUGAGCACAUUCAGUUUUGUUUCACUUGCUUAGCAAUAAAUUCAAAUUUCUUUUUUUGAAAAAUAUAAGAAUAAUAAAAUAAUGUAGAAGCGGACAAGAGCAGAGCGCCCAGCGACAACGCACGAGGCAAAUUACACGAUUCUAAAGCUUCUGUCCCGAUCGAUGGCACUGCUCGCCGUCUGGCCAGGCCACCGGAACCGUUGCCGUCGUCGCCGUCGCCGUCGCCGCCGCCUUCGUCGUCAUCGUUUUGCCGGAGAGCGACCAAAAUACCUAAUACACACGACUAGUUGGACAUCAUCAUGUCUAUGUAUAUGAGCCCCUGUGUGUCGGUGUGUGUGUGUGCCUGUGGUUUAUUUCCCGGCGAGCGAAAAAGACCAACUGCUUGGGAUCAACAGCAAGUUGGGUGCCAGCUUCCUGCAGCCUCUUGUGGUGUGUGUGGUAUGACGCCCCAGACGAACGUCGAAAAUUCGAGGGAAAAUCUUUAAUAAAAUACAUGCAUAAAUAAAUUAUAGGGCCGACAGCGAACGGGGGAUGAGAGCACAAUGGGUAAUAAAACAAAGCGAAGACAGUCGCGAAAAGAAAUCAACAAUAAACAAGCAAAGGAGCAGUCAUUUUACAACACGAAGACAUCUGAAUACCCUCAAGUAUACUUAAGUUAUAGUCCAUUAACAAGUAUGUAAAUUUUGGGCUGAUUUAAUAAAGUAUUUUGCGCCUCCAGCUUUAUGAACUCCAAAACUUUUCUCAAAUGCUCUACAAAUUUGGGGAGACUCGCUAGUUGGCAGUGUAUUAACAAAGAGGAACACAUAAAGAAUAACUCGCUCAUAUGUGAAGAGACAAGCGAAACGCCCCCCUCCGCCAUCCUCCCACUUCCCCUCUCUGUUAGCCUUGGCGUGCUCUGUUUAUCUCACAGUUACACAGUUGUAAAUUGCACAAAGGAGUGUCGUUGACUUGUGUUGACCUAGGAUCAGCAACAGACCAAAUACAAGAUGAGGAGCAGGAAGCGGGACGAAGCGGGGAAGGAAGGCAGCCUUAAUGCGUUUUGCUAGCUAGCACUUGACUCAUGUGUUGCCCUCGACAAUGGCAAUUUUCUCGCAAAAUGAAAAGUUUGUUUUUUCUUCUUCUGUUUUUUCUGUGUUUGCGGCAAAAUGGAAACCAGUUGCCAAUUGACGCUGAGAUGUAAAACAGAAAACGAUUCAUUCUUUUCGACUUAUGGAAAAUUUAUUGCAUUGACAUCGCUCACUUGGACAAUGGCUAAAUGGACAAUGGGUGGGGAGGUUCAAGAAACUCGGAAAAUUUACUCGAAAGCCAGAUUUUUGAGCUCCUAAAAGUAUGCAGCACAAAUUGUUGAUAAGUUGUGUUGGAAUUCAGAUCAACUUUGCAGCAUGUUCAAGUGCUUACAGCUCUAUGUUUAGACGAGCAUGAAAAGUCUCUUAAUAAUGCGGAAGCAUCUGCUUGAAAAGUUGCAAUAAAUUCCGAAUUCUCCAAUGCUGCUGCUGCUUAAAUUUCCGACAUUCCACACAGUGAACUCGAUUCUUUCACAAAUAACACUGAGAUACACAGACCGUUGGCCAUUGGAAUUGUUUGAGUUGCGAUUUAGCUGUCGACUCAACUCAACUCAACUCGAGUCGGUUCGGCUUGUAGAUGUGCAGGAGUUGGAUGGGAAAAACAAAUGCACACAAAUGGACACACGACAAGCAAUAUGUCCUUGCAAUCGCUUGCAAUCCUUUGCUUGUGUUCUUGCUCUCUCUUUAUCUCUCUCUCCCCAUCUUCAUCUCCAUUUCCAUCUAAAGCUGUAGCUCUGUUUCUGGCUGGUUAUCUGUGUAUCUUUAGUUGCCUGCGGGUUGCUCCUGCUUCUGCUAAACCGGCACAGAACACAAAUGGAAAUAAAUAGUU